rnacentral:rRNA from 1 species
AACGAACGCUGGCGGCAGGCUUAACACAUGCAAGUCGAACGGUUGUAGCAAUACAGCAGUGGCGCACGGGUGAGUAACGCGUGGAUAUCUGCCUUUUGGUUCGGAAUAACCCCGGGAAACUGGGGCUAAUACCGGAUGGUUCCUUCGGGAUAAAGAUUUAUCGCCAAAAGAUGAGUCCGCGUACGAUUAGCUAGUUGGUGAGGUAAUGGCUCACCAAGGCGACGAUCGUUAGCUGGUCUGAGAGGACGCUCAACCACACUGGGACUGAGACACGGCCCAGACUCCUACGGGAGGCAGCAGUGGGCAAUAUUGAACAAUGGGGACAACCCUGUUCCAGCCAUGCCGCUUAAGUGAUGAAGACAUUCGGAUUGUAAAGCUCUUUUGGCGGGGAAGAUGAUGACAGUGCCCGCAGAAUAAGCCCCGGCUAACUUCGUGCCAGCCGCAGCCGUAA